rnacentral:rRNA from 1 species
UAAACUGGUAGAGUGUAGGAGAAACUGUUCAACUAGAGAGAAAUAGAGGGAAGUAGAAUUCCGGGUGUAGUGGUGAAAUGCGUAGAUAUCCGGAGGAAUACCAGUGGCGAAGGCGGCUUCCUGGAUUUCCACUGACGCUAAAGCGCGAAAGCGUGGGUAGCGAACGGGAUUAGAAACCCCGGUAGUCCACGCUGUAAACGAUGUACAUUAGGCGUUCGUAUACGUUGAGUAUAUGAGUGUCGUAGCUAACGCGAUAAAUGUACCGCCUGGGGAGUACGGUCGCAAGGUUAAAACUCAAAGGAAUUGACGGGGGCCCGCACAAGCAGCGGAGCGUGUGGUUUAAUUCGAGGCAACGCGAAAAACCUUACCUGGGUUUGACAUGGUGGUAGUACGGAAGCGAAAGCGGAAGGACCCUUCGGGGAGCCAUCACAGGUGCUGCAUGGUUGUCGUCAGCUCGUGCCGUGAGGUGUUCGGUUAAGUCCGCAAACGAGCGCAACCCUCGGAGCUAGUUACAAGUGUCUAGCUUGACUGCCCGUGACAAACGGGAGGAAGGUGAGGAUGACGUCAAAUCAGCAUGGCCUUUAUAUCCAGGGCGACACACACGCUACAAUGGUCGGUACAAUGGGUUGCCAAGCCGCGAGGUGGAGCGAAUCCUCCAAAGCCGAUCUCAGUUCGGAUUGCAGGCUGCAACUCGCCUGCAUGAAGUCGGAGUUGCUAGUAACCGCAAAUCAGCACGUUGCGGUGAAUACGUUCCCGGGCCUUGUACACACCGCCCGUCACGUCAUGGAAGUUGGUCGAGCCUAAAGUCGGGAAGCUAACCGCAAGGGGGCUACUGCCUAGGGCAGGAUCGAUGACUGGACGAAGUC